CUCUUUUCUUACCUAAGAAGGUCCGUUACCAAUUUAACCUUCCUUAUACCAGCCCGCCACAAGCUCAGACCCCUUAAGACCUAUUGAACCCUUAAGCUGUCUGACCUCCGCCACCCCAAAGAAACAAUGCCUGGGCCAAACCUUCCUGCAACUUGUUAAACAAAUCGCACCCCACGUCAGAGAGAUGCACCCCAUCGUGACGGGAAUAUCCAGGU